AUUGAACGCUGGCGGCAGGCCUAACACAUGCAAGUCGAGCGAGCGGCGGAGGGGAGCGUAAAGGCUGGGAAAAUGCGUGAAGGAGGGGGAUAAAUACUGGGAACGGUAGCUAAUACCGCAUACCAUCUGAUGUGCCCAGAUGGGGUUAGCUAGUAUGUGGGGUAACGGCUCACCUGAGCGACGAUCCCUCGCUGGUAUGAGAGGAUGACCAGCCACAGUGGAAGUGAGACACGGCCCAGAAGCAUACGGGAGGUAGCAGUGGUGAAUAUUGCACAAUGGGCGCAAGCCUUAUGCAGCCAUGCCGCUUGUAUGAAGAAGGCCUUAGGGUUGUAAAGUACUGUCAGCGAGGAGGCGUUACGCGCAGAAGAAGCACCGGCUAACUCCGUGCCAGCAGCCGCGGUAAUUC
rnacentral:rRNA from 1 species